GGAUGAACAGAAAGUGAUAGAGACACUGAGCAAGUGUGGACCACUUUUACAAUUCAUUCAUCUACCAGUUUUACCUCUUCAGUCCUUCAUUCAGGGUUGGAGUGGUCUGGAUGAUAGAAGGAGAGGGUCAGUGUUUUCUCACAGGUGGCAUUUGAUGUAUGACAAUCUGACCAUGCUGAACUUACAAAACGGCUCCAACUGGACUGGCCCAAACAACUGGUACCACCCAGCCGACACCAUCACUCCUCAACACGGAACAGAUGGUUGCGUGGACGAUCUGAAUGUGCAGAUGGCCGGAGCAGGGGAAGGAGUGGUGCAGGGAGAGAGGGAUGAGGUG